AGGAAGCAGCAGCAGCAGGAGGAGGGGGAGGCGUUUGGUUGCGCGCGCAAGGGAAGGAGCCUGCAGAGCUGCAGCAGGAUGAGACGGUUUAAGAAAGUGCAUCUCACGGCCAGCGACUGCGAAGCCUUCAGCCACAGCAGAGAGGGCUCGUCCCCCCUGACGCAGCCUGUCGGGCAAGCUCAGACCGGCAGAGACUUCAACAGGGGUCUCUACCCGACAUACUGGACCAGGAGACAGCAAGAAGGGAAGGGUCAUCAGAAGAGCAUCACUUCUCAUUUCAAAACCCAGCAGCACGCGGGUGAUAGAGAGGCAGAAAGCUGUGAAAACCAAGAGCCAGAGGCAAAAAGCCACAAGGUCAAAGAAGAGCUGGAAGACCCCUUCUUCAGCGAUGAGGAGUUGUUGUCCAGCCUGGAGGAACCUUCUUUUCUGGCUGGAGAGGCUGAAAGUGCCGAAGCAGCUGUCUCCAGGAAGCGGCCUCUCCUUCCCGAUGCAUCUGGCAGCUGCGAUGCAGGCUACGACAAGUGGGGUAAACCUGGCGAAGCCCUCAGGACUGACAUUUUCCUUCCAGAGCCUCCCGGACAGAAUGAAAGCCGACGGGCGAUCAAACAGGAGCUCGAUAUCGACCCACUUCCUGAUCCCUGCUUCGGGCUCUUGGGGACGUCAAGCGGGACGGAGCCCCAGGGACACAUUGACCAGCUGCCGGAUGAGGUCCUGAGCCAUAUCUUUGCUUGCCUCCCUGUGAGUGAUCUCUACCAGAGCCUGAGCCUCGUGUGUCACCGCUGGAAACGCAUCAUCAGGGAUCCCCUGUUCAUCCCAUGGAAGAAGCUGUACUACCAGUACCUGCUGAAGGAGAACCCCACUCUGAUCACCGUGGGAGUGAUUUUGGACCGUUACGGUAUAACAAAAGAGCAGGAUCAGUGUAUGCUGGGGCUUAUAAGGUACGUGUCUACCUUAAGCAGCGACCGAAGAGUAGACUCCGAUAAGGUUCUCCAGUGUUUGAAGAGCCACCGUCUCUUUACCAAGGCAGAAAUCUGCAUCACCAACAAGCUGCCUGAUUUAAAGAGCACAGCGGGGGCAGCGAUGGCGUGGGCGGUGAUAGCAACCAUUGUGCUGUUCUCGGAUGCGGUGCGUGACAUCCAGAAGCUGAUGGCCUGCCUGAGGAGACCCUGCUCUACCGUUUCGGUCGUGGAGGUUGUUGAGACCUUGUACUGUCUGGCCACCCUGCUGUACGCAAUGAGGGAGAAGGACAUUGAUAUCAGCAACAGGCUCCAUUACAAUAUAUUCUAUUACUUGUAUCUGAUGGAGAACUCUUGUUCUGCUGUUAAGACCGUAGAGCAGGCAGUGCCCGGUUUGCCAUGCGUGAGAGACCUCUGGUCCAGGAGUAAACUUGAUUUAAAAUUAACCCAUGAACAGCAAAGGAUCCUGAAACAUGAAAUUAAACCAGGUCAUAUAGUCAAAAUCAUGGCAUUUGCAGGUACUGGAAAGACCUCGACUCUGAUCAAGUACGCAGAGAAAUUUUCCAACCUUAAUUUCCUGUAUGUGGCAUUUAACAAAUCCAUUGUGGAAAAUGGGAAGAAGGUUUUCCCCCAUAACGUCACCUGCAAGACUUUCCACUCGUUAGCUUUUGCGACUUUUGGCAAACAAUAUAAAGAAAAAGGCAAGCUGAACUUCUCCAAGCUGUCGCCUUACACGAUCAGCUUCCAACUCAAAACCCGCCAGGGGCAGUCUCUGUUCGUGCGGGGGAAGACGGUCACUCAGACGCUCGAGAGCUUUUUCUCCUCUUCAGAUGAGUUCAUAUCCACAGAGCACACUCCCAUAUGGUGCAAAAAUACACAUGGGAUGCGGGUCCUUGUCACCGAGGGGGAGAAGAGUAUCAUUGUCGAGGAAGCAAGACGGAUAUGGGACAAUAUGAAGGCGCUGAACAGAGCUACAGAAAUGAACUGCAAAAUAACGUGUGAUGGGUACUUGAAACUUUGGCAGCUUAGCAAGCCACAGCUGUCGGGAUAUCACGCCAUAUUUGUCGAUGAGGCGCAAGACUGCACUCCAGCCAUCAUGAACGUGGUGCUGUCCCAGACCUGCGGAGUCAUCUUCGUGGGGGACCCGCACCAGCAGAUCUACUCCUUCCGAGGGGCUGUCAAUGCACUUUUUGAAGUGCCGCACACUCACAUCUACUAUCUCACCCGGAGCUUCCGAUUUGGUCCUGAAAUAGCUUAUGUUGGAGCUACCAUCCUGGACGUCUGCAAGAAAGUCAGGAGUAAGAUGUUAGUGGGCGGAGAUCAAGAAGGUGACAUAAGAGGCAGCACGACGGGGAAGAUAGCCCUCAUAUCCCGGGGCAAUUUAAAUGUGUUUGAGGAUGCGGUGAAGAUCACUGGAAGAGAGCAGCCCACAAGAAUACAUUUGAUUGGGGGCCUUGCUCGUUUUGGACUAGACAAAAUCCAUGAUAUUUGGAAGCUCCUUCAACCUAAAGAUGUACGGGAGGCAUCAAACCUGAGAAUAAGUGACCCUUUUAUCAAAAAGUGGGAUGAGUCUGAGGGCUUCCAGGGUCUAAAGGGAUAUGCCACGACCAGUGAAGACAAGGAGCUGGAAGUGAAGAUCGCGAUAGUGGAGAAAUACAAUGUCCGGAUUCCCGAGCUGGUGCAGAAGAUCAAGGCCAGUCAUACAUCAAACACAGAAUUUGCAGAUUACCUGAUCGGCACCGUACACCAAGCCAAGGGCCUGGAGUUCGAUACAGUGCUGCUUGCAGAUGAUUUUGUGAAAGUCCCGUGUGCCAAACACAAUCUCCAGAGGCUGCCUCAAUUUAGUCCUGCUAUAUAUGCCGAGGAUGAGUGGAACUUGCUCUAUGUUGCGGUGACCCGUGCCAAAAAGUGCCUGUUAAUGACAAAGUCCCUAGAAUACGUUUUGACGUUGGCUGGGGAGUACUUGUUGCGGGCAGAACUCACCAGCGAGAUUUUAAAGGAUGGGCCUGUGAAGUGCUCGGUGCCACAGUGCAACAACAGCGUGCCUGCCGAAUCCUUCCUCACCAUGAAGAAACAGCCGUUAACUUACCAUCCUUCAAAUAAGAGUUAUUGCUGAUUAAUGAAACUUCCUGCUAAGCCACUGGUGGUUUGAUAAGUAGAAGAGAUGGACCUAGAGUUACAAAGCCCAUCCCUUUUAAUGGCAUCCGGUCAAUGCUCACCUCUACGUAGAAGGCACAAUAUAACCCAACAGCUGCAAUCAGCAACACCAAUGGAAACACUGCAAAGAACAAACAUUUCUCAGAUUUAGAAAAGUAAGAUCAAUGAACUGAUGCGAUCCCAACACGUAAUAGUCCAGCUGCCUGGCCACAUCUCUAGAUAGAAAGAUGCCAGAAACAUCCCAUCCCGUUUGAACAAGGACUGCACUGUGCCCUUCCUGCCCUGGUUGGACCAAGGUUCACUUGUGAACCGGAGGAGAGAAGGGUUUAUCAAAUUGCCAGUCCAUUGGAUCUUCUUACCUGGGAGGUCUCCCAUGCAAAUACCAAACGGACCUCGUACUGCUUCGUUGGAGGCUUGACAUGCAAUCCCAGCUCCAGAUAGAUUUGACUUCAGGCACUUAAACAUCAACACAACCCCCCCGGACAGCCCUCCUCCUUCCCACAUAUAAGCGACAACCCCUCGUAGAGCAGAAUAAUGCUUACCCGUAGAAGAAAUCAUGACCUGGGUGAAACCUGGGGAUGAACACAAGAGAGCAGAGGUUACACCUCCACAGAGCCAAUGAGUUUAUUACCUCCAUAUUGCUCACAUGGUCAGCAAGAUGCAGAUCAGCAUUUGACCCAAGCAAAACCCAACACAAUGCUAUCUGACUGCCCUUAUCAGCCUGAGUCACAAGGCAAAGGGCUGCCUGAGGCCUUAGUAUGGGCGUGUGGCAUUUCCCAGGCACCCGGCCAAGUUCCAUUUACUGUCACUAAGGGCCUGUUUUGCCCUCGGACUCUGUAUUAAGGUAAAGGACAACUUGAGGCCAGAUUGGGUCUAGUCUUUACGUGAGCACUUGAGGCAAAAAAUGCCUUUUCCCAGAGCACAGGACAAGGGUGCAGGGAUUCCUUCUAGUGGCCCUGGGCCAGGAGACCACCCAGUAAUGUUGGCCAGCCAUGGGGAGGGAUGCCACUGAGCUCCUGGAAAGGUGCAGUUGAGAGGUGCCCUCUGCUCAGGCAUCAUGUGAGUUGGACAGCCCUUCCCUAACACUAGCACCAUUUAAUGCAAUCCAGUCUGUUAAUGGAUUAAGAUAAGCUGAAAGAAAAUAUUCAAACUGAAGUAAACUUCAGUUAACCUGGACUAGUGGGUGUGGACAAGGUCACACGGACGUGCCCCUGUGUACAGUCUCUGACUUGGCAGCACUGACAUGGUUAAGUAAGGUGCUUCGCACAAAGAAUUAGCAGAUUAUUUCUGCCCGGCAUUGACAUUAGUUGGGGUUUAAAUAAUGGCAAACCUU